CUGUCACCCCCAGGAAGGUGAUCCCCGUGAGAACUCAAAUAGCAGAUGCUCAUCUGGGACCCCCGCCUCCAGCCCCAGGGGAGGUUUCCUGGUCCUCACUGUGGCCGGGGCAUGGCUCCUUCACCCCGGGGCUCACCCUCGGUGUCCGUGAAGUCCAGCCGACGGUGACCCUAAGUCCUCCCUCCACUCGCCUAUGUUUGGGGAUAGCCCAUCCUUCCUGCAGGCCUUUGUCUUGGUGUCACCCUGCCUGAGCUGGCCCCAACCACAGUAGCAACAGUGAUGCUGAUGUGUGACUGCUGCCAGGAGCCUGCUCACAUGACCGUGUGGAGAAAGUUCUUUCCCUGAGGACCAUCUGGAGUGGACGCGUGCACUACCCCUCUCUGAAUACACCCUCCCCACGAGGCCCUCUGGAGCAUCCUGUAGAGCCAGCCCCUACCCAGAGACCCUGAGCCCAGAGAAUGCGCUGGGUGGUGAGCCUGGGGACGAAUGCAGAGCCCUAGGUCUCCUCUCCAGAAAGACCGGAUUUUGCCAUGUUGGCCAGGCUGGUCUUGAACUCCUGACCUCAAGUGAUCCACCUGCCUCGGCCUCCCAAAGUGCAGGGAUUACAGGUGUGAGCCACUGCACCCGGCCUCAGGCAGGUAUUUUUACCAGCCGAAUACUCUUGCACUGUGCACUCUUCGUGUUCAUCAUCAGUCCCCCGGAUGGGUGUUUAAGGCAUUUCCAAAGCUCUGUUAUUAAAAACACGAUGCAAUGAGUUUCUUUCAGCAUUUCCCCUUGUU
rnacentral:lncRNA from 1 species